rnacentral:rRNA from 1 species
AGAGUUUGAUCCUGGCUCAGGAUGAACGCUGGCGGCGUGCCUAAUACAUGCAAGUCGAGCGAACGGACGAGAAGCUUGCUUCUCUGAUGUUAGCGGCGGACGGGUGAGUAACACGUGGAUAACCUACCUAUAAGACUGGGAUAACUUCGGGAAACCGGAGCUAAUACCGGAUAAUAUUUUGAACCGCAUGGUUCAAAAGUGAAAGACGGUCUUGCUGUCACUUAUAGAUGGAUCCGCGCUGCAUUAGCUAGUUGGUAAGGUAACGGCUUACCAAGGCAACGAUGCAUAGCCGACCUGAGAGGGUGAUCGGCCACACUGGAACUGAGACACGGUCCAGACUCCUACGGGAGGCAGCAGUAGGGAAUCUUCCGCAAUGGGCGAAAGCCUGACGGAGCAACGCCGCGUGAGUGAUGAAGGUCUUCGGAUCGUAAAACUCUGUUAUUAGGGAAGAACAUAUGUGUAAGUAACUGUGCACAUCUUGACGGUACCUAAUCAGAAAGCCACGGCUAACUACGUGCCAGCAGCCGCGGUAAUACGUAGGUGGCAAGCGUUAUCCGGAAUUAUUGGGCGUAAAGCGCGCGUAGGCGGUUUUUUAAGUCUGAUGUGAAAGCCCACGGCUCAACCGUGGAGGGUCAUUGGAAACUGGAAAACUUGAGUGCAGAAGAGGAAAGUGGAAUUCCAUGUGUAGCGGUGAAAUGCGCAGAGAUAUGGAGGAACACCAGUGGCGAAGGCGACUUUCUGGUCUGUAACUGACGCUGAUGUGCGAAAGCGUGGGGAUCAAACAGGAUUAGAUACCCUGGUAGUCCACGCCGUAAACGAUGAGUGCUAAGUGUUAGGGGGUUUCCGCCCCUUAGUGCUGCAGCUAACGCAUUAAGCACUCCGCCUGGGGAGUACGACCGCAAGGUUGAAACUCAAAGGAAUUGACGGGGACCCGCACAAGCGGUGGAGCAUGUGGUUUAAUUCGAAGCAACGCGAAGAACCUUACCAAAUCUUGACAUCCUUUGACAACUCUAGAGAUAGAGCCUUCCCCUUCGGGGGACAAAGUGACAGGUGGUGCAUGGUUGUCGUCAGCUCGUGUCGUGAGAUGUUGGGUUAAGUCCCGCAACGAGCGCAACCCUUAAGCUUAGUUGCCAUCAUUAAGUUGGGCACUCUAAGUUGACUGCCGGUGACAAACCGGAGGAAGGUGG